AGUGAACGCUGGCGGUAGGCCUAACACAUGCAAGUCGAACGGCAGCACAGUAAGAGCUUGCUCUUACGGGUGGCGAGUGGCGGACGGGUGAGGAAUACAUCGGAAUCUACUUUUUCGUGGGGGAUAACGUAGGGAAACUUACGCUAAUACCGCAUACGACCUACGGGUGAAAGCAGGGGAUCUUCGGACCUUGCGCGAUUGAAUGAGCCGAUGUCGGAUUAGCUAGUUGGCGGGGUAAAGGCCCACCAAGGCGACGAUCCGUAGCUGGUCUGAGAGGAUGAUCAGCCACCCUGGAACUGAGACACGGUCCAGACUCCUACGGGAGGCAGCAGUGGGGAAUAUUGGACAAUGGGCGCAAGCAUGAUCCAGCCAUCCCGCGUGGGUGAAGAAGGCCUUCGGGUUGUAAAGCCCUUUUGUUGGGAAAGAAAAGCAGCAGGUUAAUACCCAGCUGUUCUGACGGUACCCAAAGAAUAAGCACCGGCUAACUUCGUG
rnacentral:rRNA from 1 species